GUCGGUAUCGAUUAGGGGUUAAAUCACUUCGUUGUGGAGUACACUACCGAAGAGCCGCUGGUUCGAUUCCAGCUACCGACA